rnacentral:rRNA from 1 species
AUUGAACGCUGGCGGCAUGCCUAACACAUGCAAGUCGAGCGCCCAGCAAUGGGAGCGGCAGACGGGUGAGUAACGCGUGGGGAUGUGCCCAAUGGUGCGGAAUAACCCAGGGAAACUUGGAUUAAUACCGCAGGUGCCCUUCGGGGGAAAGAUUUAUCGCCAUUGGAUCAACCCGCGUCUGAUUAGCUAGUUGGUGAGGUAAAGGCUCACCAAGGCGACGAUCAGUAGCUGGUCUGAGAGGAUGAUCAGCCACACUGGGACUGAGACACGGCCCAGACUCCUACGGGAGGCAGCAGUGGGGAAUAUUGGACAAUGGGCGCAAGCCUGAUCCAGCCAUGCCGCGUGAGUGAUGAAGGCCUUAGGGUUGUAAAGCUCUUUCGCCGGUGAAGAUAAUGACGGUAACCGGAGAAGAAGCCCCGGCUAACUUCGUGCCAGCCGCCGCCGUAA